AUUGAACGCUGGCGGCAUGCUUUACACAUGCAAGUCGAACGGUAACAGGCCGCAAGGUGCUGACGAGUGGCGAACGGGUGAGUAAUGCAUCGGAACGUGCCCAGUCGUGGGGGAUAACGCAGCGAAAGCUGCGCUAAUACCGCAUACGAUCUCUGGAUGAAAGCGGGGGACCGAAAGGCCUCGCGCGAUUGGAGCGGCCGAUGUCAGAUUAGGUAGUUGGUGGGGUAAAGGCCCACCAAGCCAACGAUCUGUAGCUGGUCUGAGAGGACGACCAGCCACACUGGGACUGAGACACGGCCCAGACUCCUACGGGGGGCAGCAGUGGGGAAUUUUGGACAAUGGGCGCAAGCCUGAUCCAGCAAUGCCGCGUGCAGGAAGAAGGCCUUCGGGUUGUAAACUGCUUUUGUACGGAACGAAACGGUCCGGGCUAAUACCCUGGGCUAAUGACGGUACCGUAAGAAUAAGCACCGGCUAACUACGUGCCAGCAGCCGCCGUAACAC
rnacentral:rRNA from 1 species